rnacentral:rRNA from 1 species
ACGAACGCUGGCGGCAGGCUUAACCCAUGCAAGUCGAACGGAUCCUUCGGGAUUAGUGGCAGACGGGUGAGUAACGCGUGGGAACGUACCCUUUGCUACGGAAUAACUCAGGGAAACUUGAGCUAAUACCGUAUGUGCCCUACGGGGGAAAGAUUUAUCGGCAAAGGAUCGGCCCGCGUUGGAUUAGCUAGUUGGUGGGGUAAUGGCCUACCAAGGCGACGAUCCAUAGCUGGUCUGAGAGGAUGAUCAGCCACACUGGGACUGAGACACGGCCCAGACUCCUACGGGAGGCAGCAGUGGGGAAUAUUGGACAAUGGGCGCAAGCCUGAUCCAGCCAUGCCGCGUGAGUGAUGAAGGUCUUAGGAUUGUAAAGCUCUUUCACCGGUGAAGAUAAUGACGGUAGCCGGAGAAGAAGCCCCGGCUAACUUCGUG